UACGAAGGGGGCUAGCGUUGCUCGGAAUCACUGGGCGUAAAGCGCACGUAGGCGGAUUGUUAAGUCAGGGGUGAAAUCCUGGAGCUCAACUCCAGAACUGCCUUUGAUACUGGCGAUCUCGAGUCCGGGAGAGGUGAGUGGAACUGCGAGUGUAGAGGUGAAAUUCGUAGAUAUUCGCAAGAACACCAGUGGCGAAGGCGGCUCACUGGCCCGGUACUGACGCUGAGGUGCGAAAGCGUGGGGAGCAAGCGGGGAUUAAGA
rnacentral:rRNA from 1 species